UGGGGAAUAUUGCACAAUGGGGGAAACCCUGAUGCAGCGACCCCGCGUGGAGGAAGAAGGUCUUCGGAUUGUAAACUCCUGUUGUUGAGGAAGAUAAUGACGGUACUCAACAAGGAAGUGACGGCUAACUACGUGCCAGCAGCCGCGGUAAAACGUAGGUCACAAGCGUUGUCCGGAAUUACUGGGUGUAAAGGGAGCGCAGGCGGGAAGACAAGUUGGAAGUGAAAUCUAUGGGCUCAACCCAUAAACUGCUUUCAAAACUGUUUUUCUUGAGUAGUGCAGAGGUAGGCGGAAUUCCCGGUGUAGCGGUGGAAUGCGUAGAUAUCGGGAGGAACACCAGUGGCGAAGGCGGCCUACUGGGCACCAACUGACGCUGAGGCUCGAAAGUGUGGGUAGCAAACAGGAUUAGAUACCCUGGUAGUCCACACCGUAAACGAUGAUUACUAGGUGUUGGAGGAUUGACCCCUUCAGUGCCGCAGUUAACACAAUAAGUAAUCCACCUGGGGAGUACGACCGCAAGGUUGAAACUCAAAGGAAUUGACGGGGGCCCGCACAAGCAGUGGAGUAUGUGGUUUAAUUCGACGCAACGCGAAGAACCUUACCAAGUCUUGACAUCCUGCGACGAUGCUGGAAACAGUAUUUUCCUUCGGGACGCAGAGACAGGUGGUGCAUGGUUGUCGUCAGCUCGUGUCGUGAGAUGUUGGGUUAAGUCCCGCAACGAGCGCAACCCUUACUGUCAGUUACUACGCAAGAGGACUCUGGCAGGACUGCCGUUGACAAAACGGAGGAAGGUGGGGAUGACGUCAAAUCAUCAUGCCCUUUAUGACUUGGGCUACACACGUACUACAAUGGCGUUAAACAAAGAGAAGCAAGACCGCGAGGUGGAGCAAAACUCAGAAACAACGUCCCAGUUCGGACUGCAGGCUGCAACUCGCCUGCACGAAGUCGGAAUUGCUAGUAAUCGUGGAUCAGCAUGCCACGGUGAAUACGUUCCC
rnacentral:rRNA from 2 species